AAUACAAGGUUUCUCCGAAGCCUUCAUACCUAAGAUCACAUAAAGUAUCAUAUCUGAGACGUUGAUGUAUGCAAAAUGAAAUCAAAAUCAGACAUAAUAAAAGAAUUGUGAUGAUGGGAUGUUGGCCAGGAACGGCAGAUAUGUCAGUUCCUCAGGGUAGAUGUGGAAACGCAUCUGCCUCCCGCAUAUUUGGAAAGGAGAGCAGCACCUGAGAUA
rfam:Dorea sp. 42_8 Ley3_66761_scaffold_7956, whole genome shotgun sequence.